UGAUAAGGUACCACAUGGGGCUGAAA
rnacentral:piRNA from 1 species